GGCUGCCCCAAACACGGACGCGGCCGCCCAGGGAGCGCGGACGGAAGCGGAAACAGGCUCGGGCCUGAUGACGGUGGGGGCCAGCGCCCGGAGGAGAGUCAGGCCGGCAGCAGCACCUUAACCGACCGGCGAGUAACCGCAGUUUUGGCUGGAGCAGCUGUGAAGAGAUAUCACACGUCCAAGGCAAACCAUUCAGUAUCACAGUACUCCAAGUCUAUGCCCCAACCAGUAAUGCUGAAGAAGCUGAAGUUGAACGGUUCUAUGAAGACCUACAAGACCUUCUAGAACUAACACCCCAAAAAGAUAUCAUUUUCAUUAUAGGGGACAGUAAUGCAAAAGUAGGAAGUCGAGAAACACCUGGAGUAACAGGCAAACUUGGCCUUGGAGUAUGGAAUGAAGCAGGGCAAAGGCUAAUAGAGUUUUGCCAAGAGAACGCACUGGUCAUAACAAACUCCCUCUUCCAACACAAGAGAAGACUCUACAUAUGGACAUCACGAGAUGGUCAAUACCAAAAUCAGAUUGAUUAUAUUCUUUGCAGCCAAAGAUGGAGAAGCUCUAUACAGUCAGCAAAAACAAGACCGGGAGCUGACUGUGGCUCAGAUCAUGAGCUCCUUAUUGCCAAAUUCAGACUUAAAUUGAAGAAAGUAGGGAAAACCACUAGACCAUUCUGGUAUGACCUAAAUCAAAUCCCUUAUGAUUAUACAGUGGAAGUGAGAAAUAGAUUUAAGGGCCUAGAUCUGAUAGAUAGAGUGCCUGAUGAACUAUGGACUGAGGUUCGUGAUAUUGUACAGGAGACAGGGAUCAAGACCAUCCACAUGGAAAAGAAAUGCGAAAAAGAAAACUAGCUGUCUGGGGAGUGCUUACAAAUAGCUGUGAAAAGAAGUGAAAAGCAAAGGAGAAAAGGAAAGAUAAGCAUCUGAAUGCAGAGUUCCAAAGAAUAGCAAGAAGAGAUAAGAAAGACUUCCUCAGCAAUCAAUGCAAAGAAAUAGAGGAAAACAACAGAAUGGGAAAGACUAGAGAUCUCUUCAAGAAAAUUAGAGAUACCAAGGGAACAUUUCAUGCAAAGAUGGGCUCGAUAAAGGACAGAAAUGGUAUGGACCUAAUAGAAGCAGAAGAUAUUAAGAAGAGGUGGCAAGAAUACACAGGAGAACUGUACAAAAAAGAUCUUCACAACCCAGAUAAUCACGAUGGUGUGAUCACUCACCUAGAGCCAGACAUCCUAGAAUGUGAAGUCAAGUGGGCCUUAGAAGGCAUCACUAUGAACAAAGCUGGUGGAGAUGAUGGAAUUCCAGUGGAGCUAUUUCAAAUCCUGAAAGAUGAUGCUGUGAAAGUGCUGCACUCAAUAUGCCAGCACAUUUGGAAAACUCAGCAGUGGCCACAGGACUGGAAAAGGUCCGUUUUCAUUCCAAUCCCAAAGAAAGGCAAUGCCAAAGAAUGCUCAAACUACCGCACAGUUGCACUCAUC
ensembl:lncRNA